rnacentral:rRNA from 1 species
UACGGAAGGUCCGGGCGUUAUCCGGAUUUAUUGGGUUUAAAGGGAGCGCAGGCGGGGGGUUAAGCGUGACGUGAAAUGUGGCGGCUCAACCGCCGAGCUGCGUCGCGAACUGGCUCUCUUGAGUGGGUACGCGGGUGGCGGAAUUCGUGGUGUAGCGGUGAAAUGCUUAGAUAUCACGAAGACCUCCGAUUGCGCAGGCAGCUGCCCAGUCCCUUACUGACGCUAAUGCUCGAAGGUGCGGGUAU